AUGAACGCUGGCGGCGUGCUUAACACAUGCAAGUCGAACGGAAAGGCUCCUGCUUGCAGGGGUACUCGAGUGGCGAACGGGUGAGUAACACGUGGGUGAUCUGCCCUGCACUUCGGGAUAAGCCUGGGAAACUGGGUCUAAUACCGGAUAGGACCACAUUUUGGAUGGUGUGGUGGAAAGUUUUUCGGUGUGGGAUGAGCUCGCGGCCUAUCAGCUUGUUGGUGGGGUAAUGGCCUACCAAGGCGUUGACGGGUAGCCGGCCUGAGAGGGUGUACGGCCACAUUGGGACUGAGAUACGGCCCAGACUCCUACGGGAGGCAGCAGUGGGGAAUAUUGCACAAUGGGCGCAAGCCUGAUGCAGCGACGCCGCGUGGGGGAUGACGGCCUUCGGGUUGUAAACUCCUUUCGCUAGGGACGAAGCGCAAGUGACGGUACCUGGAGAAGAAGCACCGGCUAACUACGUG
rnacentral:rRNA from 1 species